rnacentral:rRNA from 1 species
CUAUACAUGACUCUGCGCAUAUCAAUAAGCGGAGGAAAAGCUAUACCUACGCUUAGGAUGUUGACAGCAGUAUAGACUGUAGAUCUCAUCUAUACAUGACUCUGCGCAUAUCAAUAAGCGGAGGAAAAGUACUACCUACGCUUAGGAUGUUGAUAUGCAUGACUGAUAUAGUCUAUACAUGACUCUGCGCAUAUCAAUAAGCGGAGGAAAAGAAACUAACAAGGAUUCCCUUAGUAACGGCGAGUGAAGCGGGAAGAGCUCAAAUUUGAAAUCUUCAAGGGUUUACCUUUACGAAUUGUAGUUUAAAGAAGUGUUUUCUGCUGAGGUUUUGGUAAAAGUUCUUUGGAAUAGGACAUCAUAGAGGGUGAGAAUCCCGUAUUUGACCAUUAUUUUCAGCUUUGUGAUACACUUUCAAAGAGUCGGAUUGUUUGGGAAUGCAGUCCAAAAUGGGUGGUAAAUUUCAUCUAAAGCUAAAUAUUGGCGAGAGACCGAUAGCGAACAAGUACCGUGAGGGAAAGAUGAAAAGAACUUUGAAAAGAGAGUUAAACAGUACGUGAAAUUGUCAAAAGGGAAGCGUUUGACACCAGUGUUGUUUUUCUGAAAAUCAAUUAAAGAACUGUUUAUGCUAAGUUGUUUAGACUUUAUCAGCUAACUGUUUAGUUUUGAGCUUUUCUUUAAUGCACUUUUCAGUUAACAAGUCAACAUCAAUUUCUUUUGCUGUAAAAAAGCCUGAGGAAGGUGGCUUGAGAUUCGUCUUAAGUGUUUAUAGCCUCUUGCCUAUGCAGUCGGAGAGAUUGAGGUCUGCAGCGUAGAUCCUUCGAGGCUAAAUGCAUUUGUGCUAAGUUAUAGCAUUUUAUAGACAACUUGUUGACUAUGAUUUGUCUUGUAGCUUACUCGCUUAUGUUAUUUUACCUACGCUUAGGAUGUUGACAGCAGUAUAGACUGU